AACGCGAAGAACCUUACCAGGUCUUGACAUCCCUCUGAACACAUUAGAGAUAGUGUGGGCCUUCGGGACAGAGGAGACAGGUGGUGCAUGGUUGUCGUCAGCUCGUGUCGUGAGAUGUUGGGUUAAGUCCCGCAACGAGCGCAACCCUUGGAUUUAGUUGCCAGCACAUGAAGGUGGGCACUCUAGAUCGACUGCCGGUGACAAACCGGAGGAAGGCGGGGAUGACGUCAAAUCAUCAUGCCCCUUAUGACCUGGGCUACACACGUACUACAAUGGCCGGUACAACGGGCUGCGAAACCGCGAGGUGGAGCGAAUCCUAUAAAAGCCGGUCUCAGUUCGGAUUGCAGGCUGCAACUCGCCUGCAUGAAGUCGGAAUUGCUAGUAAUCGCGGAUCAGCAUGCCGCGGUGAAUACGUUCCCGGGCCUUGUACACACCGCGCAUA
rnacentral:rRNA from 1 species